AUUGAACGCUGGCGGCAAGCCUAACACAUGCAAGUCGAGCGGAGCGGCGGACGGAUGAGUAAUUCCUAAGAAGCUGCCUGGUAGUGGGGGAUAACGUCCGGAAACGGGCGCUAAUACCGCAUCCUAUCAGAUGAGUCUAGGUCGAAUUAGCUAGUUGUGGGGGUAAAGGCCUACCAAGGCGACGAUCCGUAACUGGUCGGAGAGGAUGAUCAGUCACACUGGAACUGAGACACGGUCCAGACGCCUACGGGAGGGAGCAGUGGGGAAUAUUGGACAAUGGGCGAAAGCCUGAUCCAGCCAUGCCGCGUGUGUGAAGAAGGCCUUCGGGUUGUAAAGUACUUUCAGCGGGGAGGCGUUACCCGCAGAAGAAGCACCGGCUAACUCCGUGCCAGCAGCCGCGGUAAUUC
rnacentral:rRNA from 1 species